AUUGAACGCUGGCGGCAUGCUUUACACAUGCAAGUCGAACGGUAACAGGCCGCAAGGUGCUGACGAGUGGCGAACGGGUGAGUAAUGCAUAGGAACGUGCCCAGUCGUGGGGGAUAACUACUCGAAAGAGUAGCUAAUACCGCAUACGAUCUAUGGAUGAAAGCGGGGGACCGUAAGGCCUCGCGCGAUUGGAGCGGCCGAUGUCAGAUUAGGUAGUUGGUGGGGUAAAGGCUCACCAAGCCAACGAUCUGUAGCUGGUCUGAGAGGACGACCAGCCACACUGGGACUGAGACACGGCCCAGACUCCUACGGGAGGCAGCAGUGGGGAAUUUUGGACAAUGGGCGCAAGCCUGAUCCAGCAAUGCCGCGUGCAGGAAGAAGGCCUUCGGGUUGUAAACUGCUUUUGUACGGAACGAAACGGCUCUGGUUAAUACCCGGGGCUAAUGACGGUACCGUAAGAAUAAGCACCGGCUAACUACGUG
rnacentral:rRNA from 1 species